GAUGAACGCUGGCGGCGUGCCUAAUACAUGCAAGUCGAGCGAACAGACGAGGAGCUUGCUCCUCUGACGUUAGCGGCGGACGGGUGAGUAACACGUGGAUAACCUACCUAUAAGACUGGGAUAACUUCGGGAAACCGGAGCUAAUACCGGAUAAUAUAUUGAACCGCAUGGUUCAAUAGUGAAAGACGGUUUUGCUGUCACUUAUAGAUGGAUCCGCGCCGCAUUAGCUAGUUGGUAAGGUAACGGCUUACCAAGGCGACGAUGCGUAGCCGACCUGAGAGGGUGAGCGGCCACACUGGAGCUGAGACACGGUCCAGACUCCUACGGGAGGCAGCAGUAGGGAAUCUUCCGCAAUGGGCGAAAGCCUGACGGAGCAACGCCGCGUGAGUGAUGAAGGUCUUCGGAUCUUAAACCUCUGUUAUUAGGGAAGAACAAAUGUGUAAGUAACUAUGCACGUCUUGACGGUACCUAAUCAGAAAGCCACGGCUAACUACGUG
rnacentral:rRNA from 1 species